rnacentral:rRNA from 1 species
AGUGAACGCUGGCGGUAGGCCUAACACAUGCAAGUCGAACGGCAGCACAGUAAGAGCUUGCUCUUACGGGUGGCGAGUGGCGGACGGGUGAGGAAUACAUCGGAAUCUACUUUUUCGUGGGGGAUAACGUAGGGAAACUUACGCUAAUACCGCAUACGACCUACGGGUGAAAGCAGGGGACCUUCGGACCUUGCGCGAUUGAAUGAGCCGAUGUCGGAUUAGCUAGUUGGCGGGGUAAAGGCCCACCAAGGCGACGAUCCGUAGCUGGUCUGAGAGGAUGAUCAGCCACACUGGAACUGAGACACGGUCCAGACUCCUACGGGAGGCAGCAGUGAGGAAUAUUGGACAAUGGGCGCAAGCCUGAUCCAGCCAUACCGCGUGGGUGAAGAAGGCCUUCGGGUUGUAAAGCCCUUUUGUUGGGAAAGAAAAGCAGCAGGUUAAUACCCCGCUGUUCUGACGGUACCCAAAGAAUAAGCACCGGCUAACUUCGUG